UACGGCGGUCAUAGCGAAGUGGGAAACGCCCGGUCCCAUACCGAACCCGGAAGCUAAGCCCUUCAGCGCCGAUGGUACUGCACACGGGUG
rnacentral:rRNA from 1 species